rnacentral:rRNA from 1 species
CAGUCGCCACGGUAAUACGUAGGUGGCAAGCGUUGUCCGGAAUUAUUGGGCGUAAAGCGCGCGCAGGUGGUUUAGUAAGUCUGAUGUGAAAGCCCACGGCUCAACCGUGGAGGGUCAUUGGAAACUGUUAAACUUGAGUGCAGGAGAGAAAAGUGGAAUUCCUAGUGUAGCGGUGAAAUGCGUAGAGAUUAGGAGGAACACCAGUGGCGAAGGCGGCUUUUUGGCCUGUAACUGACACCGAGGCGCGAAAGCGUGGGGAGCAAACAGGAUUAGAUACCCCCGUAGUCCCUGUCUCUUAUAC